rnacentral:rRNA from 1 species
AGAGUUUGAUCCUGGCUCAGGACGAACGCUGACGGUGUGCUUUAGACAUGCAAGUCGAACGAGAAAGCCCUUCGGGGUGAGUACAGUGGCGAACGGGUGAGUAACACGUGGGUAACCUGCCCCUCGCAGGGGGACAACCGGGGGAAACCCCGGCUAAUACCCCGUACGCUUGCCGGGUCGCAUGGCCCGGCAAGGAAAGGUAGCUUCGGCCAUCCGGCGAGGGAUGGGCCCGCGGUGCAUUAGCUAGUUGGUGGGGUAACGGCUCACCAAGGCGACGAUGCAUAGCUGGUCUGAGAGGAUGAUCAGCCACACUGGGACUGAGACACGGCCCAGACUCCUACGGGAGGCAGCAGUCGGGAAUCUUGCGCAAUGGGCGAAAGCCUGACGCAGCAACACCGUGUGGGCGAUGAAGGCCUUCGGGUCGUAAAGCCCUGUUGUUGGGGACGAAGGGCGAAGGGUUAAUAGCCCCUAGUCUGACGGUACCCUUCGAGGAAGCUCCGGCUAACUACGUGCCAGCAGCCGCGGUAAUACGUAGGGGGCGAGCGUUGUCCGGAAUUAUUGGGCGUAAAGAGCGUGUAGGCGGUUUGGUAAGUCUGCCGUGAAAACCCGGGGCUCAACCCCGGGCGUGCGGUGGAUACUGCCAGGCUAGAGGAUGGUAGAGGCGAGUGGAAUUCCCGGUGUAGUGGUGAAAUGCGCAGAUAUCGGGAGGAACACCAGUAGCGAAAGCGGCUCGCUGGGCCAUUCCUGACGCUGAGACGCGAAAGCUAGGGGAGCGAACAGGAUUAGAUACCCUAGUAGUCC